rnacentral:rRNA from 1 species
AACGCGAAGAACCUUACCAAGGCUUGACAUGAACCGGUAAUACCUGGAGACAGGUGCCCCGCUUGCGGUCGGUUUACAGGUGGUGCAUGGUUGUCGUCAGCUCGUGUCGUGAGAUGUUGGGUUAAGUCCCGCAACGAGCGCAACCCUCGUUCUAUGUUGCCAGCACGUGAUGGUGGGGACUCAUAGGAGACUGCCGGGGUCAACUCGGAGGAAGGUGGGGACGACGUCAAAUCAUCAUGCCCCUUAUGUCUUGGGCUUCACGCAUGCUACAAUGGCCGGUACAAAGGGUUGCGAUACUGUGAGGUGGAGCUAAUCCCAAAAGCCGGUCUCAGUUCGGAUUGGGGUCUGCAACUCGACCCCAUGAAGUCGGAGUCGCUAGUAAUCGCAGAUCAGCAACGCUGCGGUGAAUACGUUCCCGGGCCUUGUACACACCG